rnacentral:rRNA from 1 species
AGUGAACGCUGGCGGUAGGCCUAACACAUGCAAGUCGAACGGCAGCACAGUAAGAGCUUGCUCUUACGGGUGGCGAGUGGCGGACGGGUGAGGAAUACAUCGGAAUCUACUUUUUCGUGGGGGAUAACGUAGGGAAACUUACGCUAAUACCGCAUACGACCUACGGGUGAAAGCAGGGGAUCUUCGGACCUUGCGCGAUUGAAUGAGCCGAUGUCGGAUUAGCUAGUUGGCGGGGUAAAGGCCCACCAAGGCGACGAUCCGUAGCUGGUCUGAGAGGAUGAUCAGCCACACUGGAACUGAGACACGGUCCAGACUCCUACGGGAGGCAGCAGUGGGGAAUAUUGGACAAGGGGCGCAAGCCUGAUCCAGCCAUACCGCGUGGGUGAAGAAGGCCUUCGGGUUUUAAAGCCCUUUUGUUGGGAAAGAAAAGCAGCAGGUUAAUACCCCGCUGUUCUGACGGUACCCAAAGAAUAAGCACCGGCUAACUUCGUG